UCUCAUUAAUUAGUUGAUGAGGGGUCGAGUUACUGCGUUCCUAACCUAACCCCUUCCUUCUCCGAGCUUUGUAUCAUAAGUGAUCCGAACCUGCCCGGAGUGAGCCUCCCAUAGAGGCAAGUUGGUGAGCCGUAUGAUGGGCAACUAUCUCCUGCGGUUUGGAGAGGACUCAGCUGUUAGUUAGUAUCCCCUUGGUUUCGGGGUGGACCC